rnacentral:rRNA from 1 species
UGGGGAAUAUUGCACAAUGGGCGCAAGCCUGAUGCAGCCAUGCCGCGAGUGUGAAGAAGGCCUUCGGGUUGUAAAGCACUUUCAGCGAGGAGGAAGGGUGGUGUGUUAAUAGCACAUUGCAUUGACGUUACUCGCAGAAGAAGCACCGGCUAACUCCGUGCCAGCAGCCGCGGUAAUACGGAGGGUGCAAGCGUUAAUCGGAAUUACUGGGCGUAAAGCGCACGCAGGCGGUUUGUUAAGUCAGAUGUGAAAUCCCCGCGCUUAACGUGGGAACUGCAUUUGAAACUGGCAAGCUAGAGUCUUGUAGAGGGGGGUAGAAUUCCAGGUGUAGCGGUGAAAUGCGUAGAGAUCUGGAGGAAUACCGGUGGCGAAGGCGGCCCCCUGGACAAAGACUGACGCUCAGGUGCGAAAGCGUGGGGAGCAAACA